rnacentral:misc_RNA from 1 species
GUGACAAUAUUACAAUCAUGUAAGGCAAACUUAUUUUUUAUAUUUAUUAUCUUAUUCUGUUGGGAUGUUUUGCUCUCUAUAUUUUGGUGGACCUCACAUUUCAACAUUGAUUUGGUCUAUCAUAUACAAAUUGCACCAUCUCUUUCUAGUAACUUUUAGUUGUUGGUCCUUGCUGAUAAUUUGCUUUAAAGCACCAAAAAUACUUGUUUUGGUGGCCUUAGAUGCAACUUAUUGUUAU